rnacentral:lncRNA from 1 species
CAUUGUCGUGCCGAGCACCGCCAUCUCCCGAAAACCCUAAUCCUUCUUCUUAAAAUCCUAACAUACCUAUUUCGAUGGACUUCGGGUGUGAGAAUCAUCGAAAUCUGUCUCGUCGGCUGCUGCUAUCUCUGCCGCAACAUCUCGGAUAAGCCCUUUUCUUCCCUUUCCUUUUUGGUCUAGGAGUCACCACUCUAGUAUGAUAGGUUGUGCCCUUUUUCGUCUUUUCUUCUUCGAUGUCCAGUCGCCACCAGCC